GCAAGAUACCACGGGCGCACGGCGGAUGCCUUGGCACAGGGAGCCGAUGAAGGACGCGGCAAGCUGCGAUAAUCCCCGGCGAGGAGCACACAUCCCUCGACCCGGGGGUCUCCGAAUGGGCGAACCCAUCCACAGCAGUGUGGAUAUCCCCACCCCGAACACAUAGGGCCGGGGAGGACAACCCGGGGAACUGAAACAUCUAAGUACCCGGAGGAGAGGAAAUCAAUCUCGAGACUCCCCGAGUAGCGGCGAGCGAAAGGGGACCGAUGGCCAAACCGUCGAGCGGGCAUACCCGGCAGGGGUUCCGCCGACGGGGUUGCAGGGCCGCGCAUCCGGGGGCUGCCGCCCCCGGGCGCAGGUCCGGCUGGGGAGCGGAACGGCAUGGGAGGGCCGGCCGCAGCGGGUGACAGCCCCGUACGCGAACCCAGACCGGACGGCGCGACGCGGUCCCUGAGUAGGGCCGGGCACGUGAAACCCGGUCCGAACCUGGGUGGACCACCAUCCAAGCCUGAGUACUACCCUGUGACCGAUAGCGCACCAGUACCGUGAGGGAAAGGUGAAAAGCACCCCGGGAGGGGAGUGAAACAGUACCUGAAACCGUGCGCCCACGAGCAGUCGGAGCAACUUUACGUUGUGACGGCGUGCCUUUUGUAGAAUGAGCCAGCGAGUCGCUGGCGCGGGGCGAGGUUAACCGAAAGGGAGCCGGAGCGAAAGCGAGCCUUAACAGGGCGACUUGAGUCCCGCGCCGCGGACGCGAAGCCGGGUGAGCUAUCCGUGGGCAGGCUGAAGCGGGGGUAAGACCCCGUGGAGGGCCGAACGCACGUCGGUUGAAAACGGCGGCGAUGACCUGCGGAUAGGGGUGAAAGGCCAAUCAAACCCGGAGAUAUCUCGUUCUCCCCGAAAUAGCUUUAGGGCUAGCGUCGCGCGUUCACCGCCGGAGGUAGAGCACCGGAUGGACGAGGGGGCUUCGCCGCCUACCGAAUCCAACCGAACUCCGAAUGCCGGCGGCCCAGAGCGCGGCAGUCAGAGCAUGUGGGCUAAGCUGUGUGCUCGAGAGGGAAACAGCCCGGACCGCCCGCUAAGGUCCCCAAGUUCCAGCCGAGUGGCAAAGGAUGUGCGUCCGCCCAGACAACCAGGAUGUUGGCUUAGAAGCAGCCAUGCAUUCAAAGAGUGCGUAACAGCUCACUGGUCGAGUGGACAUGCGCCGACAAUACACGGGGCUAAGCUGGACACCGAAGCGGCGGGAUUUUAUUCAUUAGAAUCGGUAGGGGAGCUUCCCAUGGGCGGAGAAGCCGGAGGGCGACCGACGGUGGAGCGCAUGGGAGUGAGAAUGCUGGCAUGAGUAGCGAGAGACGAGAGAGUAACUCGUCCGCCGUGAACCCGAGGUUUCCUGGGCAAGGCUAAUCCUCCCAGGGUCAGUCGGGGGCUAAGGCGAGGCCGGGAGGCGUAGCCGACGCGCAGCAGGCAGACAUUCCUGCACCGCGCACGCGGCGCUACGACCGACGGGGCGACGGAUGGGGGUGGCUCGGCGGGGUUCUGGACGUCCCCGUGAUGGAGCGCGGCCCGCGGACCAGGGAAAUCCGGUCCGCAUCAAGGGCGAGGCUCCGGACGAAGCACUUAAGCGAAGCGAGUGAGCCCGAGGUCCCUAGAAAAACCCCUAGGCAGGCGCGUGCGCGCCCGUACCGCAAACCGACACAGGUGGGUGGGUAGAACAUACCGAGGCGAUCGGGUCAACCAUGGUCAAGGAACUCGGCAAAAUGGCCCCGUAACUUCGGGAGAAGGGGUGCCCGCGCGUACGUGAACGGACUUGCUCCGGGAGCGGAGGCGGGCCGCAGUGGAGAGGCCCAAGCGACUGUUUACCAAAAACACAGGACUCUGCAGAAGCCGCAAGGCGACGUAUAGGGUCUGACGCCUGCCCGGUGCCGGAAGGUCACGCGGAGGAGUUAGCCGCAAGGCGAAGCCCCGAAGCCAAGCCCCGGUAAACGGCGGCCGUAACUAUAACGGUCCUAAGGUAGCGAAAUUCCUUGUCGGGUAAGUUCCGACCUGC
rnacentral:rRNA from 1 species